GAUGAACGCUGGCGGCGCGCCUAACACAUGCAAGUCGAACGGCACCUAUCUUCGGAUAGCAGCGCGUGGCGAACGGCUGAGUAACACGUGGAGAACCUGCCCCCUCCCCCGGGAUAGCCGCCCGAAAGGACGGGUAAUACCGGAUACCCCGGGGUGCCGCAUGGCACCCCGGCUAAAGCCCCGACGGGAGGGGAUGGCUCCGCGGCCCAUCAGGUAGACGGCGGGGUGACGGCCCACCGUGCCGACAACGGGUAGCCGGGUUGAGAGACCGGCCGGCCAGAUUGGGACUGAGACACGGCCCAGACUCCUACGGGAGGGAGCAGUGGGGAAUCUUGCGCAAUGGGGGGAACCCUGACGCAGCGACGCCGCGUGCGGGACGGAGGCCUUCGGGUCGUAAACCGCUUUCAGCAGGGAAGAGUCAAGACUGUACCUGCAGAAGAAGCCCCGGCUAACUACGUG
rnacentral:rRNA from 1 species